rnacentral:rRNA from 1 species
CUACGUGCCAGCAGCCGCGGUAAUACGGAGGGUGCGAGCGUUAAUCGGAAUAACUGGGCGUAAAGGGCACGCAGGCGGUGACUUAAGUGAGGUGUGAAAGCCCCGGGCUUAACCUGGGAAUUGCAUUUCAUACUGGGUCGCUAGAGUACUUUAGGGAGGGGUAGAAUUCCACGUGUAGCGGUGAAAUGCGUAGAGAUGUGGAGGAAUACCGAAGGCGAAGGCAGCCCCUUGGGAAUGUACUGACGCUCAUGUGCGAAAGCGUGGGGAGCAAACAGGAUUAGAUACCCUGGUAGUCCACGCUGUAAACGAUGUCGAUUUGGGGGUUGAGCUUUAAGCUUGGCGCCCGUAGCUAACGUGAUAAAUCGACCGCCUGGGGAGUACGGCCGCAAGGUUAAAACUCAAAUGAAUUGACGGGGACCCGCACAAGCGGUGGAUGAUGUGGAUUAAUUCGAUGCAACGCGAAGAACCUUACCUACUCUUGACAUCCAGAGAACAUUC